UAUCCCAAAAGCGGAGGAAAAGAAACCAACAGGUGCCCUAGUACGGCGAGUGAGCGGCAACAGCUCAAAUUUGAAAUCUGGCUCUUUCAGAGUCCGAGUUGUAAUUUGCAGAGGGCGCUUUGGCUUUGGCAGCGGUCCAAGUUCCUUGGAACAGGACGUCACAGAGGGUGAGAAUCCCGUACGUGGUCGCUAGCUAUUGCCGUGUAAAGCCCCUUCGACGAGUCGAGUUGUUUGGGAAUGCAGCUCUAAAUGGGAGGUAAAUUUCUUCUAAAGCUAAAUAUUGGCCAGAGACCGAUAGCGCACAAGUAGAGUGAUCGAAAGAUGAAAAGCACUUUGGAAAGAGAGUCAAACAGCACGUGAAAUUGUUGAAAGGGAAGCGCUUGCAGCCAGACUUGCUUGCAGUUGCUCAUCCGGGCUUUUGCCCGGUGCACUCUUCUGCAGGCAGGCCAGCAUCAGUUUGGGCGGUGGGAUAAAGGUCUCUGUCAUGUACCUCUCUUCGGGGAGGCCUUAUAGGGGAGGCGACAUACCACCAGCCUAGACUGAGGUCCGCGCAUCUGCUAGGAUGCUGGCGUAAUGGCUGUAAGCGGCCCGUCUU
rnacentral:rRNA from 1 species